CAUGACUGGGGUGAAGUCGUAACAAGGUAACCGUAGGGGAACCUGCGGUUGGAUCACCUCCUUA
rnacentral:rRNA from 12 species